rnacentral:rRNA from 1 species
CAGCACCUCAAGUGGUCAGGAUGAUUAUUGGGCCUAAAGCAUCCGUAGCCGGCGCUGUAAGUUUUCGGUUAAAUCUGUACGCUCAACGUACAGGCUGCCGGGAAUACUGCAGAGCUAGGGAGUGGGAGAGGUAGACGGUACUCGGUAGGAAGGGGUAAAAUCCUUUGAUCUAUUGAUGACCACCUGUGGCGAAGGCAGUCUACCAGAACACGUCCGACGGUGAGGGAUGAAAGCUGGGGGAGCAAACCGGAUUAGAUACCCGAGUAGUCC